GUCUAUGGCCAUACCACCCUGAACGCACCUGAUCUCGUCUGAUCUUGGAAGCUAAGAAGGGUUGGGCCUGGUUAGUACUUGGAUGGGAGAAGUGAGGAAGAUAACAGCACUUUAUACA
rnacentral:rRNA from 1 species